GAUAAGGUUAAGUGAAUAAGGGCGCACGGUGGAUGCCUUGGCACUAGGAGCCGAUGAAGGACGGGACUAACACCGAUAUGCUUUGGGGAGCUGUACGUAAGCUAUGAUCCAGAGAUUUCCGAAUGGGGGAACCCAACAUCUUUAAUAGGAUGUUACGAUUGUGUGAAUACAUAGCACAUUCGAGGUA
rnacentral:rRNA from 1 species